GGAAGUAAGAGGCGGUACCGCUAGCCUAAACAGCUUGCUGAAUAUUCAUGAGCGCGAGGUCAGGGUAGUUUAUUUUGAUCACAGCACCUUAAUUUCAUUUCCUGUUUCAAAACAAAUCAGGGCUGCCAGAUUCUCACAUCCGGAGGGGAAGAGACGGUCUUUCUUGAUGAGUGGGCUGGCCCCAUGCGACCUCUCAGGUCCCCAAGGACUCCGUGCAAUUUGCUGAAAGCUCUCUACCCUCCAGUUUCGCUUCCCUCUUGGGCUUUGUCUUAUCUUGUCUCUUUUCUUUUUUCUUUUCUCUUCUUUUUCAACCCCCUUCUUCCCACCCUUCCAUUCUUCCUUCCUUCCUUCCUUUCCUUUCCUUUGUUUUUUUUUUUUUUUUUUUUUUUUUUUUUUUUUUUUUUUUUACAAGAGUUUCGCAGUUUGGUGGUGGAGUGUUGACUGUGUGUGAGGAACUGGAGUAGCUCCCUAUAAUAAAAGAUGCUAAGAGCGGCAGUGGUGGUGCAGGCCUGUAAUCUCAGCUUUUAGGGAAGUAGAGGCAGGUGGCUCUCUGAGUUUGAGGCCAGCCUGGUCUACAGAGCAAGUUCCGGGACAGCCAGGGCUACACAGGGAAAGCCUGUCUCAAAAAAAAAAAAAAAAAAGAAGAUAAAGAAGAUAACAUUAAUAGAAUGAAAGGGGCCUCAAAGCUGACCUGAACCUGGAGAUGAGAGGGACAACGUUAGACAGAAAUAGUACAAUAUAUGGAGCUCUGAACAUGAUAGGGCCUUAAAGGCAGCAAGAGGCUUCCCUCUAGAACCUGGAGAGGCGCUUCAGUAAAACUGGGAGAGAGAGUCAAAAGACAUAGUGACCGAAUUUCCAGAACAAGGAAGGGUCUUUUUUGGUAAUUUUUCAGAGGCAGCACAAAGUUUCUUACCAUGGGGUUCAGUUCAGCACAGUGAACAUGACGAAAAACACAGAAGAGCAAGAUGCCAUAGAUUGAGAGCUGCCAAAUCACACUACUGUUGAUUCCGAACUCUGCCCCAGAGAGAGUUGCUGGGAGGCACUCCUGACUCAGGCUAUGGGAGAUGGCCUAAAGGCACAAGCCUGUGUUCUAAUAUUUACCAAUACCAAAAGAAACGACAAUAAAAAAGAAGAAGAAAGAAUAUUCAACUGAGUACAGUAGCACAGGCCAGUAAUCUUAGUGCUUGGGAGGCAGAGGGACAGAGAUGUCAAAGGAAGCUGGGGCUAUUCGAAAGUCCCUGUCUGAAAAAAAUUAAGGGCACCAGCAGUUGUGACGCCAGGUACCUUUAAUCCCAGCACUCAGGUGGCAGAAGCCAGCAGAUCUCUAUGAGUUCAAGGCCAGUCGGGUCUGCAUAUCAAAUUUCAGGAAGCCAAGACUACAUAGUGAUGUUCUGUCUCAAAACAUGCCAGGGUAAAAGCAACUGAGGGCUUGCUGAAUGUGCUCAGUGGUAGAGUCCCUGCCUAGAAUCCACCAGGGAGGAGCUGGGGGCGUGGCUCAGUGGUAGAGCCCCCUGCCUAGAAUCCACCAGUGACGGGCUGGGGGCGUGGCUCAGUGGUAGAGCCCCUGCCUAGAAUCCCCAGUGAGGGGCUGGGGGCGUGGCUCAGUGGUAGAGACUUACCUAGAAUCCACCAGUGAGGGGUUGGGGCAUCACUUCCCAUGAACAUGCUUACUCAGCACGUACAGGUUCCAGGGUCCAAUCCCUAUAAUAACAUCUUAUUCUGAGUAAAAGCAUGUUUAUUUAAGUCCUAUGCCAAAUCACCUUCUAGAAGCUGCAACUCCUUAACAACCCUUUCCAGCACCCAAUUUCUGCAAACAGCCAUAAUCGCAAUUGCUCAACGGACAUGAUCUUCGAGGAUGUGAGUCAUGGCAAAGUCAUGGUGGAUGGGAUGAGAUGCUGGAAGGGCUGUUUAUGUGGUGCCUUCUCAAGGCAGAAGCCAGAUUUGACGUUGUGUUCCUUGCUGUGAGCCCACCUUUCCUUCACCUCUGAGUUCCCCUCCCAGCCUUUGGACCCAGAAUACUACACACCACCACCAGAGGGCAGCAAAGUGCCGCUCAGGCCCCACGGGCCAUGGAAAUCCAUCUAUAGUGCUGUGUUAUCUUCCUGGCUGGAAACCGAGACCCAGACACCAGGGAACAAGGUCUACGCCCAGGAGACCAAAGAGUAUUGGUGCACACCUGUAAUCACGGCACUUGGGGAGUAGAGGCAGAGGGAUUAGGAAUUCAAGGUCAACCUCGGCUACAAAGUGAGCUUCAGGCCAUCCUGGACUAUUAUUUGGACCCUGUCUCAAAAAUAAAAUAGUAGACAGAAGUCAUGUGCAGUGACGGAAGUGACUGGUGAUGAAUAUUCCAGCUUCUAUGCAAGGCUUGUAUGUCUCCCAACACUCCCUUCCAGGGGUUGUCACUGCAAGGCCUGCCAGCUGUGCAGCUCUCCAUCAAGAAGUAUCAAUGGUUCUUAUCACCCAGUAGGGCAAUGAAUGCCACCUAGAGAAGACCUAGUAUCUGCUCUGGAUCCCAAGAACCAAAAGAUGGACCCAUCAGUAGAAAAGUAUUUAAAAUUGAUUAGGGGAACACUGACUGCUCUUCCAGAGGUCCUUAGUUCAAAUCCCACCAACCACAUGGUGGCUCACAGCCAUCUGUAAUGAGAUCUGAUGCCCUCUUCCGGUGUGUCUGAAGACAGCUACAGUGAGUGUACUGAUAUAUAAUAAAUAAAUAAAUCUUUAAAA